rnacentral:rRNA from 2 species
UGGCUCAGAACGAACGCUGGCGGCAGGCCUAACACAUGCAAGUCGAGCGCCGUAGCAAUACGGAGCGGCAGACGGGAGAGUAACACGUGGGAACGUACCUUUCGGUUCGGAACAACCCAGGGAAACUUGGGCUAAUACCGGAUACGCCCUUACGGGGAAAGAUUUAUCGCUGAAGGAUCGGCCCGCGUCUGAUUAGCUAGUUGGUGAGGUAACGGCCCACCAAGGCGACGAUCAGUAGCUGGUCUGAGAGGAUGAUCAGCCACACUGGGACUGAGACACGGCCCAGGGUCCUACGGGAGGCAGCAUUGGG